CCUACGGGAGGCAGCAGUGGGGAAUAUUGGACAAUGGGGGGAACCCUGAUCCAGCGACGCCGCGUGAGUGAAGAAGUAUUUCGGUAUGUAAAGCUCUAUCAGCAGGGAAGAAAGAAAUGACGGUACAUGACUAAGAAGCCCCGGCUAACUACGUGCCAGCAGCCGCGUUAAUACGUAGGGGGAAAGCGGUAUCUGGAUUUACUGGGGGUAAAGGGAGCGUAGACGGCGAUGCAAGUCUGAAGUGAAAGGCGGGGGCGCAACCCCCGAACUGCUUUGGAAACGGUGUGGCUGGAGUGCAGGAGAGGGAAGUGGAAUUCCUAGUGUAGCGGUGAAAUGCGUAGAUAUAAGGAGGAACACCAGUGGCGAAGGCGGCUUACUGGACUGUAACUGACGUUGAGGCUCGAAAGCGUGGGGAGCAAACAGGAUUAGAUACCCUUGUAGUC
rnacentral:rRNA from 1 species